rnacentral:tRNA from 1 species
GGUGGCUCAGUGGUAGAGUGUUUGCCUUGCAUGCACAAGGCUCUGGGUUCGAUUCCUCAGCACCA